AAGAUUAAGCCAUGCAUGUCUAAGUAUAAGCAAUUAUACAGCGAAACUGCGAAUGGCUCAUUAUAUAAGUUAUCGUUUAUUUGAUAGUACCUUACUACUUGGAUAACCGUGGUAAUUCUAGAGCUAAUACAUGCUAAAAAUCCCGACUUCGGAAGGGAUGUAUUUAUUAGAUUAAAAACCAAUGCCCUCCGGGGCUCACUGGUGAUUCAUGAUAACUCCUCGAAUCGCAUGGCCUUGCGCCGGCGAUGGUUCAUUCAAAUUUCUUCCCUAUCAACUUUCGAUGUUUGGGUAUUGGCCAAACAUGGUUGCAACGGGUAACGGAGGGUUAGGGCUCGACCCCGGAGAAGGAGCCUGAGAAACGGCUACUACAUCCAAGGAAGGCAGCAGGCGCGCAAAUUACCCAAUCCCGACUCGGGGAGGUAGUGACAAUAAAUACUGAUACAGGGCUCUUUUGGGUCUUGUAAUUGGAAUGAGUACAAUUUAAAUCCCUUAACGAGGAACAAUUGGAGGGCAAGUCUGGUGCCAGCAGCCGCGGUAAUUCCAGCUCCAAUAGCGUAUAUUAAAGUUGUUGUGGUUAAAAAGCUCGUAGUUGAACCUUGGGCCUGGCUGGCCGGUCCGCCUCACCGCGUGUACUGGUCCGGCCGGGCCUUUCCCUCUGUGGAACCCCAUGCCCUUCACUGGGUGUGGCGGGGAAACAGGACUUUUACUGUGAAAAAAUUAGAGUGCUCCAGGCAGGCCUAUGCUCGAAUACAUUAGCAUGGAAUAAUAGAAUAGGACGUGUGGUUCUAUUUUGUUGGUUUCUAGGACCGCCGUAAUGAUUAAUAG
rnacentral:rRNA from 1 species